rnacentral:piRNA from 1 species
AGGAAAAAAUGUCCCCUUGGAGGUC